AUCUGAGAGAGCCUUCUAAGCAAAUGAGCGGCAUGUAAAACUUCACAACAGACACAUGAAGACUGCAACUACUGCUUCAAUAAUGUCGUGAGUUUCCAAUUGCUCUGCAUUAGAAUCUAACAGGGUCCCAGCACAAAUUUAAGCACACUGGUUUCCUCUGGAAGUUUAUCAGAGAAUGACACUGAGGAUCUUUACACAGUUGGAGGCAAGGAA
rnacentral:lncRNA from 1 species